AGGAAAUAGAUACCCUGGUAGUCCUGGCCCUAAACGAUGAAUGCUUGGUGUGGCGGGUAUCGAUCCCUGCCGUGCCGAAAGCUAACGCAUUAAGCAUUCCGCCUGGGGAGUACGGUCGCAAGGCUAGAAACUCAAAGGAAUUGACGGGGGCCCGCACAAGCGGUGGAGCAUGUGGUUUAAUUCGACGCAACGCGAAGAACCUUACCCAGGCUUGAACUGCAGAUGACAUCCUACGAAAGUAGGCUUCCGCAAGGACAUCUGUAGAGGUGCUGCAUGGCUGUCGUCAGCUCGUGUCGUGAGAUGUUGGUUUAAGUCCCGCAACGAGCGCAACCCUUGUCUUCUGUUGCCAUCGGGUUAUGCCGGG
rnacentral:rRNA from 1 species